GUGUGAAAUUCUUCAUCUCUUGAAAACCCUAAUUCUUCGAAAGUUUCUGAUUUUUGUCCAUAACUAGAAAUAUCAAUCUCACUUAUUUAUGGAAGAAGAUCCAAUUUUUCCAAAAUUGCAGGAUACAGCUUUGAUUUAUGGCGACACGAAAUAGGACUUAUUCGAAUCAGAUUCAAGGGUAGAUCUUGCAGCUUGGAGUUAUGUCUGCUUAUGGCCAUCAAAUGGAGAAAAACUAUUCUGCAAGGAGUCUCUUUGGUGAUUCUGAGUUGAGGAGCAGUUAUGUCUUGGAAUCAAGAUUCUACAUCACUUCUUUUGCAGUAACAAUCUUGAUUACCUCGCUCGCCACUAUUGGCCUUCUAAUGAUUACUAUGCUGGUUGUUCUGAUAUUUUGCUAUUGAAUCCUAAUUCAUCCAAUCUAUAUCGUAGGUUUCAUGAUAACAACAUUGUUAAUUGUAUGUUAGAGUUGCAAUUAAAAGGCAAUCUUGUUCUAGGAUGUUGCAAUGGAUGGUGGUGAGAUUGUUGGUAAUGUUUCACACAUAUUUGCUGCUGGCACUGCUAGUUUGGAGCAUAAAGUCAUGGAGUUGCAGAGUAGAACUGACAUGUUAGAAAUUCAUCCAAAUGUAGUUCCAGAAAUUGAGUGCAACACGAGAUUUUCAAUGUAUUGUUUGUUAUAUCGUAUUUGCAUUGUUGAUUUUGGUCAUAGGUUGCAACUGCUUCUUUGUAACUGAUAUAUAUAA